UUAGAAUUCCUGCAAACACGGGUUAGUUAUUUUACAUGAAGCAUGUACGUGACUCCUGGUUUCUGAGAAAACAUUUUUUUCUCUCUAUCCUACAGUGCUAGGCAAAGCACCCCAAAGCCUCUUGAUUUUAAACACAGAAAACUCCACUGCCGAAAUGUUUGCCCUAUCCCAGCGCUAAAGCCUUAGAAGCACCGACGAAUCUAGGCCAAGGAGUACAAGAUGGCAGUGAGAUACCACAAUGCAGGCAAGGAAGACGGGAUGGGCCCCAAUCGGGAAGCACGCGCCACCAGCUCUGGAGAGAACCGUCUGAGGAGACGCGGGGGAGAGUUUGGGUCACAGGAGCAGGAAGGAACUGGCAGGUGUCUGUCACCUUAUCAUCCCGGACACCAUGUUUACAUUGUAAUUGGCUUCUUUACAGAGAGGGAGGGACCAGGUUCCCAGUGUGAGUGAUGUUUAGAGGUUUUCUGAGAAGCACAAGGACUGGACUUUGACAGGAAGCAACGAGGCAAGAGGGAAGCUCGAGAACAGGUUUUGCUGAGGAUUCCCCCCAAGAAAAGUGCUCCCCGGGAGGCCGUUCCUGGCACCAAGACUGGCGGAGCCACCACACCCGUUAAAGGGAUCCACCUGGACAGCGAUCAGGCAAGCACCUCCAAGGAUCACGUAGGACCAGCAGAAGCAGCGUAAAGUAUUGGAACUUUGAAUCUGACAUCAGAAAGACCUGCACUCAGCCGGGCACGGUGGCUCACGAUUGUAAUCCCAGGCCGAGGCGGUGGAUCACUUGAGAUUCACUGAUUCUAGGUAAAUCAGAGGAACAAGCAACAUGAACAGAAAAAAUGUAGAAAAUGCAAUUAUGCUGAAGUACAAUUGUUGUUUCAGAAGUCCAGCAUCUGGUGUACUUAACAAUAGAGAAUAUAUUAAAUUUU
rnacentral:lncRNA from 1 species